UACCUGGUUGAUCCUGCCAGUAGUCAUAUGCUUGUCUCAAAGAUUAAGCCAUGCAAGUCUAAGUACGAGCUCUCGUACAGUGAAACUGCGAAUGGCUCAUUAAAUCAGUUAUGGUUCAUUUGAUCGUACAGUUUACUUGGAUAACUGUGGUAAUUCUAGAGCUAAUACAUGCGAGAAGCGCCGACCUCGCGGGAGGCGUGCAUUUAUCAGACCAAAAACCGGCCGCGUCUUCGGGCGCGUUCGCCUUGGUGACUCUGGAUAACUUUGCGGAUCGCACGGUCUAGCACCGGCGACGGAUCAUUCAAGUGUCUGCCCUAUCAACUUUCGUCGGUACGGUAUUUGCCUACCGAGGUUCUUACGGGUGACGGGGAAUCAGGGUUCGAUUCCGGAGAGGGAGCCUGAGAAACGGCUACCACAUCCAAGGAAGGCAGCAGGCGCGCAAAUUACCCAUUCCCGACGCGGGGAGGUAGUGACGAAAAAUAACAAUGCAGGACUCGUUCGAGGCCCUGUAAUUGGAAUGAGUACACUUUAAAAGCUUUAACGAGUAUCC
rnacentral:ncRNA from 1 species